rnacentral:rRNA from 1 species
UACGAAGGUCCCAAGCGUUAUCCGGAUUCACUGGGUUUAAAGGGUGCGUAGGUGGAGUGGUAAGUCAGUGGUGAAAUCUCCAAGCUUAACUUGGAAACUGCCGUUGAUACUAUCAUUCUUGAAUAUCGUGGAGGUAAGCGGAAUAUGUCAUGUAGCGGUGAAAUGCUUAGAUAUGACAUAGAACACCGAUUGCGAAGGCAGCUUGCUACACGAUCAUUGACACUGAGGCACGAAAGCGUGGGGAUCAAACAGG